CCAUGUGUAGCGGUGAAAUGCGUAGAUAUAUGGAGGAACACCGGUGGCGAAAGCGGCUCUCUGGUCUGUAACUGACGCUGAGGCUCGAAAGCGUGGGGAGCGAACAGGAUUAGAUACCCUGGUAGUCCACGCCGUAAACGAUGAGUGCUAGGUGUUGGAUCCUUUCCGGGAUUCAGUGCCGAAGCUAACGCAUUAAGCACUCCGCCUGGGGAGUACGACCGCAAGGUUGAAACUCAAAGGAAUUGACGGGGGCCCGCACAAGCGGUGGAGCAUGUGGUCUAAUUCGAAGCAACGCGAAGAACCUUACCAGGUCUUGACAUCCCGAUGCUAUUUCUAGAGAUAGAAAGUUACUUCGGUACAUCGGUGACAGGUGGUGCAUGGUUGUCGUCAGCUCGUGUCGUGAGAUGUUGGGUUAAGUCCCGCAACGAGCGCAACCCCUAUUGUUAGUUGCCAUCAUUCAGUUGGGCACUCUAGCGAGACUGCCGGUAAUAAACCGGAGGAAGGUGGGGAUGACGUCAAAUCAUCAUGCCCCUUAUGACCUGGGCUACACACGUGCUACAAUGGUUGGUACAACGAGUUGCGAGUCGGUGACGGCGAGCUAAUCUCUUAAAGCCAAUCUCAGUUCGGAUUGUAGGCUGCAACUCGCCUACAUGAAGUCGGAAUCGCUAGUAAUCGCGGAUCAGCACGCCGCGGUGAAUACGUUCCCGGGCCUUGUACACACCGCCCGUCACACCACGAGAGUUUGUAACACCCGAAGUCGGUGAGGUAACCUUUNGGAGCCAGCCG
rnacentral:rRNA from 1 species